CCAGUCCCCUCGGAAACAGAACCGCUCCUCACAGAGUCCGUGGGGCAAGGCCUUCUCUAUUCAUUUAACUGAGGCCUGUGGGUCCACCCCCCGGGAGAAUCUCUCACUCUGGCCAACACCGCAUCCGGCCUCCUGAGCCCCCUUGCAAAUCCUCCCGGUCCACAUUCUGUUCCCGAGUCCCUCUCUAGACUGGUCGUCCUUGUUUUUGUACGGCCAAGGCUUAGGACAGCCCACAGAGGGCCAAAGCCGUGUUCAGGCUUUACCACUUCUUCCCCGGAUCAUUCCAACAGCCUUUUCUUGAGCCUGGCCACCCCCAAACUUAGCCCCUCGAGUCCAUCCUCCACAGGAAAAGAUCUCUGGGGGUCUUUCAUCAUUGGAAUCUGAAAAAGAAAAACGUGAGAGAUCAAGCACUGGAAACGUCCUGGAAAGGGACACUGGGACCGACGGCACAGCCUCGUGAAUGCACGAAAACCCACUGGCCCAUACGCUUCAACGGGGCGAAUUUUACGCUAUGUAUUUCUAUCUCAAGAGAAAGCAGCAGCGGUGAGGACGUGACACACUUCUGGGAAUCCAGCUACUGGUCCCAUUUCAGCUCCUGUGGAAUAUUACAGCAUGCCUCUAAAGAAUCAUGCAACUUGGAUACAGAUGCUCUGGACCAUCCAACUCAAAUUCCUCCUGGAGCACGAGCACGCGCUGGGCACAAUGGCUCCACUCACUUCAGAUUCACGAGGCCGGCCUGGAAGGCCAAGAGCAGUUUAAAUCCACAAUGCUUUUGAUCCCGAUUAAAGACCAAGUUUCACAUCGAAUACAAAAUACGUUCUACUGCCAGGGGAACUCUGAACCCUCCAAGGGUCUGGUUUGAUUUCAGAGAUUAAACAUAAGCACAAGAACAAAAAACGGCAAACUCGUGUCUUUCCACCGGUAAUUUCUCUCAAAAUUAAGAAGAAAAUGAAUAAUCUCCUCCCCCCCCCCCCCAACUGUUUGUCUGCUGCUUUCCAAAAUUCUAACGCAGAAUUGGAAGUCCAGCCUUCGGAGCCUGUGCGCCACACGGGGAAUAGUCACGGCGGACCCCAGACACGAACUUGGGUUUGAACCUCCGUUCUCCCACUAGAGCUGUGUGGCCUUCGACGCAGAAUUCUAGCCUCAGUAGUCUCAUCUGUGAAGAGAGGGAAACGCUGAAAUGGUUUCCUCAGAGGCGACGUAAGAAUGGCGAGAUAAUAUGCCGUGUAAAACAAGAACACACCACACGCGUAUCAGCUGCUGCUCGUGGGUGAUGACCCUACAGUUCAGACUCAUUGUCAGGAAUAGAUGAGCGUCUUCCCAACAGCUGGGUUGUUCUUCCCUUAUUUAUACUCUGGGCCGUAUAAUUGCUCGGGUCCUUCUGUAGGUAGGAGUUGCAGAUUCACGUUUCUGUUCCACCCCUGCUGAGCAGGACCCCGUGAAAUGCACGGUGGCACUCGCCUCAUUCGUGGCUCUGUUUUCCAUCUCUACUUUUUUUUCCUUUCAGUCCUCAUUUAAUUUAUAUGUAGGUAACUGCCAUGGACCGAAUGGGUGUGUCCACGCCCAAUUCAGAUGUUGAUGCCCUAAUCCCCCCUUCUAUGGUAUUGGGGGUGGGGCCAUUGAGGGCUGUUAAGGUCAUUAGGGUAGAGACCUCAUGAAGGGGGUAAGUGCCUUGUAAGGAGAGAUAGGAGAGAGAUGUCUCCCUGCCGUGCGAGGACACAUCAGGAGGGUGGUUUUCUAUAGCCAAGAAGGGGUCUCCCAACAAAACCCCACCAUGAUGGCACCCAGAUCUCGGACAUCCAGCCUCCAGAGCUAUGAGAAAUGUGUAUCGUUUAAGCUCCCCAGUCUAUGGUGUUUUUGUUAGAGCAGCUUGAGCUGGCUGACGGAGAUCCCGUUAUGUUUCCAACCAUCUUCUGUCCAUGGUCAUACACAGAGAAGGAUACAGACAUGAUGAACAGAUAAAUGGGUAGGCCAAUGGAUACAGAAAAAUGGGAGACAUGCUUGAGGAACGAACCCAGUCAAUGUGCACAGAUGAACAGACAGAAGACAGCCAGACCCUUCCCUUCUGUCUUUUCAUUUUCUGCUGUGUUUUGCCUGCUCACCUGACCACACUGAUCGGUACGGGCUAAGGACUGGUGCAGGUUGAAAUAGAACCACAAAGACUGGUCCUAGCCUGGCCAGGGCCUCUGCCAGUUAGAAGUGGAGUCAUAUGGGGGGCGCCUGGGUGGCUCAGUCGGUGAAGUGUCUGACUUCGGCUCGGGUCACAAUCUCAUGGUUUGUGGGUUCGAGCCCCGCGUCGGCCUCUGUGCUGACAGCUCGGAGCCUGGAGCCUGCUUCCCAUUCUGUGUCUCCUUCUCUCUCUCUGCCCCUCGCCUCCCCCCAAAAAUAAAUAAACAUUAAAAAAAAUCAUGCUAUGAGAGUCAAGCGAGAGGCGUACUUGGAGGUGACCAGCACGUACCGUGUACUUGGGGACGCUGAAUUUGAAUCUCAGUUGCCUAUUGAUGAAGAUCAAGUUCCAGGUCACAGUCCCUUAGGUUCCUCAUGGGUUCAGGCUCUGUUACACCCCUUUCCCACCAUUUGCUAGAGUUUACAUGUAUGAGCCCUGGGUCCAAAUGAAAAUUCAGUCCUGUGUGGCUCCAAAGGUCUUGCUUCAGUUUCGUGGAUGGACAAACAUUUGGACAGCAGGUUCCCACCAGCACAGAAGGGGGAAGGCGGGAUCUCCAGGCAGAAACGCUUCCAGACUGCCAGGCGGAGAGGCCAGAGCGAUAGUCCAGGCGGUGCCCGUGUGCAAAAGGGGUCCCCUAAAGUUCAUUUGUGAACUUAUUUUUCAGCAGAGAAUAACAUUUUCGCACAGAAACAGUUCUAUCCAAAUGAGUUCACUUCUCCGGGGAAGGCGAGGGCAGAGGAAUCCACAUCAGAGCUGAACAAACAGCAGUCCUUCCGGCUGGAGUCGUAAGAGCACGGAGUUCCAUUUAUUUAAAAAGCACCUCCUUUUGGGGGAAAAUUCAUUCCAACUCCAACCGAAGUUUCCGGGAAGACACAGGAACGGUCCAGGAUACAACGGAAGGACCAUUGCUCUGGGGAUCCAGCAACUCAGGCUCUAGCUCCGUUUCUCACGUGCAGGGGGAAAUGGAGGAGGCUUGGGCAAAAUACUUCCCUUCCUUGGGUCUCGAUUUUUCCAUCAGCCAAAAGAUGGGAGUUGCAUCUUUUGGGUGAUUCCUCGGCACUUUUUAUCUCCAACGUUCGGCAAGUCUAAACGUCCACGCCCUCCGACAUCAUGAGCCCAAUGACAAAACCCCCUUUCUUUUCUAUCACUAUGACUUGAAAUAAAGGAAGAUGGUAAGGGACAGUUUGUUCUGGCUGGGGGGCACAUGGGGUGAAGCAGACGAGGCUGAAAUUAGACAAAGUCAGGCCCUAACCUGGGCCCCCCCUGAGAGUUCCCCAGACUCCCCAGAAAUGGAGAGAGCAUCCGUAGUCCAGGGAAUUAGAUGUAAGCCCUGGCUAUAAUAUUUAAUAAUGCUUAGUGUUGAGUAGAUCACUUCAUGUCUGAGAAAUUCCUUUCCUUCAAUUACGAAAUGAGGUAAACAAUACUUCUUCCGCCUUCAAAGCUCGCAAGGGCAAAAUGAGCGCUUCCAAAGUCCCAGCUCUCUGACCCACUGUCUGAGCUCAUGGGAUUACAUCGGGCCCACUUGGAUAAUCCAGGCUAAUCUCCCUAUUUUAAGGUCCGUGAUGAGUAACCUAAAUUCCAUAUGCAUCUUUACUUCUUUUUCUCCGUGUAAUUAAUAAUAUUCACAAGUGCCAAGGAUGAGGAUACCUUUGAGGGACCACUGUUGUGCCUGGCACAGCCUCCUGAUGGGAUCGCCCACAUCCCCACGUGCCAUCCUGCCGUUCAGUCCCCGUGCUGCAGCCGUGGUCAUCUUUGUUGACAGGCUGGUCACGUCACUUCAAAAUCCCUCAAGGAAAUAGAUACAAUGUUUACAAUGUCUUAACCUCUUCCUUAACUUGGUGAACAAAGUUCCCACCCACCUGUCCAGUCUCAUCUCCCUCUUCUUGCUCCUUGUGAUCUCUCUGACUCAGUCACCCUGGCCUUUUAACCCUUCCUAUUCAACCUACUUCCGCCAGCCACAGGGCCUUUGCACGUGCCAUUUCCUCUGCCUGAGACACAUGUCGGCUGAUUAGCUACUACCCGUUGCCAGACCAGACCACGCCAAGCGUCACCUCCUCAGAGAGGCUGCCCCUGGCCUCUUCAACUGGAUCACAUCAUAACUGCACCCCCCCCACCACACACAAUACCCUUAUCGCUCCUUAAUAGCACAUAACACAGCUUGCAAGGCUAUGUUUGUUUGCCGAACUGUUCAGCUAAUGACAGUUUCCUCCAUAAGGGACAGGGCCUAUGGUUCUUAUCGUUGUAUCCCCAGCAGUGCCUGGCACAUAGUAGAUAUUCAAUAAAUACGUACUGAAUGGAAGAAUAAAAGCAUGAUUUUUUCAAUAUACAGAUGACGACCCUG